rnacentral:lncRNA from 1 species
CAAGCAAAUAUCAAAGUUUCUAUCAACUCAUUAAUUGUAAAAUUUUUGUUUUGCUAAAAUCUGCUGUAACAAAUUUCAAGGAUUUAAAACUUGAAGAAAAGAUUUAAUCCAAAUCUGACAAUUAGACUGUGAGCCUAGGGAAAGGCUUGUAAAGAUUGUAGUUGGUGACCCAAAAAAUAAACUGAAUUUGAUUGUGAGCUCGGC